AUUGAACGCUGGCGGAAGGAGGAACAAAGGCAAGUCGAGCGGAUGAAGGGAGCUUGCUCCGGGAUUCAGCGGCGGACGGGUGAGUAAUGCCUAGGAAUCUGCCUGGUAGUGGGGGAUAACGUCCGGAAACGGGCGCUAAUACCGCAUACGUCCUGAGGGAGAAAGUGGGGGAGCGUCGGACCUCACGCUAGCAGAGGAGCCUAGGUCGGAUUAGUUAGUUGGUGGGUUAAAGGCCUACCAAGGCGACGAUUCGUAAGUAGUCUGAGAGGCUGAGCAGUCACACUGGAACUGAGACACGGUCCAGGCUACUAAGGGAGGCAGCAGUGGGGAAUAUUGGGCAAUGGGCGAAAGCCUGAUCCAGCCAUCCCGAGUGUGUGACGAAAGUCUUGGGAUUGUAAUGCCCGCUUAGUUGGGAGAAAGCGCAGUAAGUUAAUACCAUGCUGUUUUGACGUUACCAACAGAAUAAGCACCGGCUACCUUCGUG
rnacentral:rRNA from 1 species